rnacentral:rRNA from 1 species
CAAUAGCGUAUAUUAAAGCUGUUGCGGUUAAAAAGCUCGUAGUUGGAUUUCUGUCAAGGACAACUGGUCCGCCCCUCGGGUGAGCACAUAGUUUGGUCUUGGCAUCUUGUUGGAAACUGUUGCUGCACUUGGUUGUGUGGCGCAGUGUCCAGCACUUUCACUUUGAGGAAAUUGGAGUGUUUCAAGCAGGCACAUGCCUUUGGACACAGUAGCAUGGAAUAAUUAGAUUGGGCUUUUGCUCCAACUUGUCGGUUUCUGGAGCUGAGGUGAGAAUUAAUGGGGAUUGUUGGGGGCAUCCGAAUUUAGCCGUCAGAGGUGAAAUUCUUGGGUCUGCUAAAGACGGACAACUGCGAAAGCGUUUGCCCAGGAUGUUUUCAUUGA